UUUUUUUUUUCACCCUUAUUUUUGGAGGUAAAACCACUACCCACUUUUAUUUUGGUUUGAAGGAGAGUAGUAGUGCAUUAUUACACACCGCGCGCUAUCCCACCAAACAAAUGAUACUCCACUACUCUCCUUCCACCCAAACUUAAAAGUAUAAUAUCUCGUCAACAGAUUGACAGAAAUCAAAAAUGUCAAUACUAAUAUUUAUUUUAACCAAUACUUCAU